rnacentral:rRNA from 1 species
UACAGAGGUGGCAAGCGUUGUUCGGAAUUACUGGGCGUAAAGGGCGCGUAGGCGGCCUUCUAAGUCGGACGUGAAAGCCCCAGGCUUAACCUGGGAACUGCGUCCGAUACUGGGAGGCUUGGAUUCGGGAGAGGGAUGUGGAAUUCCAGGUGUAGCGGUGAAAUGCGUAGAUAUGCGGAGGAACACCGAUGGCGAAGGCAGCCCCCUGGGCUAACACUGACGCUCAGGCACGAAAGCGUGGGGAGCAAACAGG